rnacentral:rRNA from 1 species
AGUGAACGCUGGCGGCAGGCCUAACACAUGCAAGUCGAACGCUCCGCAAGGGGAGUGGCGCACGGGUGAGUAACGCGUGGGAAUCUACCUAUUAGUAAGGAAUAACAGUUGGAAACGACUGCUAAUACCUUAUACGCCCUACGGGGGAAAGAUUUAUCGCUAAUAGAUGAGCCCGCGUAAGAUUAGCUAGUUGGUGAGGUAAUGGCUCACCAAGGCUACGACCUUUAGCUGGUCUGAGAGGAUGAUCAGCCACACUGGAACUGAGACACGGUCCAGACUCCUACGGGAGGCAGCAGUGGGGAAUAUUGGACAAUGGGCGAAAGCCUGAUCCAGCCAUGCCGCGUGAAUGAUGAAGGCCUUAGGGUUGUAAAGUUCUUUCGCCGCCGAGGAUAAUGACGGUAAGCGGAUAAGAAGCCCCGGCUAACUUCGUGCCAGCCGCCGCGGUAA